rnacentral:rRNA from 1 species
CGCAUAACAUCAUUAGAUGGCAUCAUUUAGUGAUCAAAGGAUUUAUUUGUUAGGAGAUGGACCCGCGUCGCAUUAGCUAGUUGGUAAGGUAAUGGCUUACCAAGGCGACGAUGCGUAGCCGACCUGAGAGGGUGAUCGGCCACAUUGGGACUGAGACACGGCCCAGACUCCUACGGGAGGCAGCAGUGGGGAAUAUUGCACAAUGGGGGAAACCCUGAUGCAGCAACGCCGCGUGAGUGAUGAAGGUUUUCGGAUCGUAAAGCUCUGUCUUUGGGGAAGAUAAUGACGGUACCCAAGGAGGAAGCCACGGCUAACUACGUGCCAGCAGCCGCGGUAAUACGUAGGUGGCGAGCGUUAUCCGGAUUUAUUGGGCGUAAAGGGAGCGUAGGCGGAUAAUUAAGUGGGAUGUGAAAUACUCAGGCUCAACCUGGGGGCUGCAUUCCAAACUGAUUAUCUAGAGUGCAGGAGAGGAGAGUGGAAUUCCUAGUGUAGCGGUGAAAUGCGUAGAGAUUAGGAAGAACACCAGUGGCGAAGGCGACUCUCUGGACUGUAACUGACGCUGAGGCUCAAAAGCGUGGGGAGCAAACAAGAUUAGAUACCCUGGUAGUCCACGCCGUAAACGAUGAAAAAUAGGUGUGGGGGUUUUCAACCCCUCCUGUGCCGCCGCGUAACGCAUUUAAGUAUUCCCGCCUGGGGAAGUACGGUCGCAAGAUUUAAACUCAAAGGAAAUGGACGGGGACCCGCACAAGCAGCGGAGCAUGUGGUUUAAUUCGAAGCAACGCGAAGAACCUUUACCUACACUUGACAUCCCUUGCAUUACCCUUAAUCGGGGAAAUCUAUUCGGAGACAAGGUGACAGGUGGUGCAUGGUUGUCGUCAGCUCGUGUCGUGAGAUGUUGGGUUAAGUCCCGCAACGAGCGCAACCCCUAUUGUUAGUUGCUACCAUUAAGUUGAGCACUCUAGCGAGACUGCCUGGGUUAACCAGGAGGAAGGUGGGGAUGACGUCAAAUCAUCAUGCCCCUUAUGUGUAGGGCUACACACGUGCUACAAUGGCAAGUACAGAGAGACGCAAAACCGUGAGGUCAAGCAAAUCCCUUAAAACUUGUCCCAGUUCGGAUUGUAGGCUGAAACUCGCCUACAUGAAGCCGGAGUUGCUAGUAAUCGCGAAUCAGAAUGUCGCGGUGAAUACGUUCCCGGGUCUUGCACACACCGCCCGUCA